CCUACGGGUGGCAGCAGUGGGGAAUAUUGGGCAAUGGGGGAAACUCUGACCCAGCAACGCCGCGUGAGUGAUGAAGGUCUUCGGAUUGUAAAGCUCUUUUCUAAGGGAAGAAGAAAGUGACGGUACCUUAGGAAUAAGCCUCGGCUAACUACGUGCCAGCAGCCGCGGUAAUACGGAGGAGGCAAGCGUUCUGCGGAAUGACUGGGCGUAAAGGGUGCGUAGGUGGUUUGACAAGUUGGUAGCGUAACUCCGGGGCUCAACCCCGGCACUGCUGCAAAAACUGUCGGACUUGAGUGCAGGAGAGGCAAGUGGAAUUCCUAGUGUAGCGGUGAAAUGCGUAGAUAUUAGGAGGAACACCAGUGGCGAAGGCGAUUUACUGGACUGUAACUGACGCUGAGGCACGAAAGCGUGGGGAGCAAACAGGAUUAGAUACCCGGGUAGUC
rnacentral:rRNA from 1 species